GAUAAGAUACACUUUGGAACUCGAAUGCAGAGCACAGGGUUAAUGGCGUGUUCUCCGCAGUGUGGAGGAACAGAGGGAUCUCGGGGUCCACGUCCACAGAUCCCUCAAAGUUGCCGCGCCAGCUGGUGGGGUGGUUAAAAAGGCGUAUGGUGUGUUGACCUUCAUUAGUCGGGCAAUCGAGUUCGAGAGCUGUGAGGCAACCAGAAAAUGAAGAAACCCAAUAGAACCCAUGAAAGAAAAGAAGACCAUCGGACACCCAAUAUGAAGAAAAAAAGAACAAACCAUGUAAACAAUAAAAGUAACACAAAUAACAUUCGGAACUGGAGUUUACGGAAGUGCGUCCACAGCCACGAAGACAGUCAUCACCGCAGCUGAUUCAGGAGUCUGUUAGUUGUGGCCACAGUCUCAGUUCAGUGCAGAGAUGAGUAAACCUUGUGGAGCAGCGAGCUGAACAAGUCUGUCCCUUACCAUCGGGAACCGAGCAAUUCUCUCCUGAAAGUACUGAGUCUUAGAGAGAGCGAGCUUGUGCAUUUGUUUCUUUAUCUCAAUAAAAAUCAGUUUCAUCCUAAA